GACGAGGAGCUUGCUCCUUUGACGUUAGCGGCGGACGGGUGAGUAACACGUGGGUAACCUACCUAUAAGACUGGAAUAACUCCGGGAAACCGGGGCUAAUGCCGGAUAACAUAUCGAACCGCAUGGUUCGAUAGUGAAAGACGGUCUUGCUGUCACUUAUAGAUGGACCCGCGCCGUAUUAGCUAGUUGGUGAGGUAACGGCUCACCAAGGCAACGAUACGUAGCCGACCUGAGAGGGUGAUCGGCCACACUGGAACUGAGACACGGUCCAGACUCCUACGGGAGGCAGCAGUAGGGAAUCUUCCGCAAUGGGCGAAAGCCUGACGGAGCAACGCCGCGUGAGUGAUGAAGGUCUUCGGAUCGUAAAGCUCUGUUGUUAGGGAAGAACAAAUGUGUAAGUAACUGUGCACAUCUUGACGGUACCUAACCAGAAAGCCACGGCUAACUACGUGCCAGCAGCCGCGGUAAUACGUAGGUGGCAAGCGUUAUCCGGAAUUAUUGGGCGUAAAGCGCGCGUAGGCGGUUUUUUAAGUCUGAUGUGAAAGCCCACGGCUCAACCGUGGAGGGUCAUUGGAAACUGGAAAACUUGAGUGCAGAAGAGGAAAGUGGAAUUCCAUGUGUAGCGGUGAAAUGCGCAGAGAUAUGGAGGAACACCAGUGGCGAAGGCGGCUUUCUGGUCUGUAACUGACGCUGAUGUGCGAAAGCGUGGGGAUCAAACAGGAUUAGAUACCCUGGUAGUCCACGCCGUAAACGAUGAGUGCUAAGUGUUAGGGGGUUUCCGCCCCUUAGUGCUGCAGCUAACGCAUUAAGCACUCCGCCUGGGGAGUACGGUCGCAAGACUGAAACUCAAAGGAAUUGACGGGGACCCGCACAAGCGGUGGAGCAUGUGGUUUAAUUCGAAGCAACGCGAAGAACCUUACCAAAUCUUGACAUCUUUUGACCACUCUAGAGAUAGAGUUUUCCUCUUCGGAGGACAAAAUGACAGGUGGUGCAUGGUUGUCGUCAGCUCGUGUCGUGAGA
rnacentral:rRNA from 1 species